rnacentral:lncRNA from 1 species
GCUGCAGUUUGAACUACAAUACGUAAACAAUAUGUAAACAGUUAUCAUUUAAUAAGGAAAUAAUCCCUAUUUGAGGAAAGAGACAGUUGUAAAACGCUGGCUUAACAUAAUGGGCAAGCGCAAGAGAAACCUGGACAUGGGAGGUGUGUGUUAUUCCCAGACGAUGUGAAAGACUUUCAGAAAGGUGGGAAAAGCAUCUGCCAGAACGUCCACACCUGCCACAAAGUCCUGGGGAAAAUGUGGCGACAGUUUCCUGGACACUCCCGUCAUCCAGGUGCCUUAAACUAGACGGACGUAAUGCUGUCUGUCUGUUACACAGAUGCUCUGAACAUCAUCUGUUUGUGUUUCAGAAGCUGCAAACAUCAGAGAAGAACACGUAAAGUGGCUCUGACGUCUGUUACUGGGACAGAUGACCUGCCCACUAUUGAUUCAGACAGUGAGAGGAAGAGAAUUCAGCUUCAAAAGAACACACUGACUUUCUAAAUCCUGUUGCCUCACCAACCGAGAUUUCAAACUACUCCUCUUAUGAUGAUAAUGAUGAAGAUCCAGAAGAAAACAGAGCAGACUCUUCCUUUCUAGACGCAGCUGAGACCAGCAGGCAGUCGGUCAGCGAGUGGGUCUGAUCUGCUCAGGCGAUUCUUCAGACACCUCAGA